AACGCUAGCUACAGGCUUAACACAUGCAAGUCGAGGGGAAACGACAUCGAAAGCUUGCUUUUGAUGGGCGUCGACCGGCGCACGGGUGAGUAACGCGUAUCCAACCUGCCCAUCACUUGGGGAUAACCUUGCGAAAGUAAGACUAAUACCCAAUGACGUCUCUAGAAGGCAUCUGAAGGAGAUUAAAGAUUUAUCGGUAAUGGAUGGGGAUGCGUCUGAUUAGCUUGUUGGCGGGGUAACGGCCCACCAAGGCAACGAUCAGUAGGGGUUCUGAGAGGAAGGUCCCCCACAUUGGAACUGAGACACGGUCCAAACUCCUACGGGAGGCAGCAGUGAGGAAUAUUGGUCAAUGGGCGAGAGCCUGAACCAGCCAAGUAGCGUGCAGGAUGACGGCCCUAUGGGUUGUAAACUGCUUUUAUAAGGGAAUAAAGUGAGUCUCGUGAGACUUUUUGCAUGUACCUUAUGAAUAAGGACCGGCUAAUUCCGUGCCAGCAGCCGCGGUAAUACGGAAGGUCCGGGCGUUAUCCGGAUUUAUUGGGUUUAAAGGGAGCGUAGGCCGGAGAUUAAGCGUGUUGUGAAAUGUAGACGCUCAACGUCUGCACUGCAGCGCGAACUGGUUUCCUUGAGUACGCACAAAGUGGGCGGAAUUCGUGGUGUAGCGGUGAAAUGCUUAGAUAUCACGAAGAACUCCGAUUG
rnacentral:rRNA from 1 species